rnacentral:rRNA from 1 species
AUUGAACGCUGGCGGAAUGCUUUACACAUGCAAGUCGAACGGCAGCACGGGGGCAACCCUGGUGGCGAGUGGCGAACGGGUGAGUAAUACAUCGGAACGUGCCCAGUCGUGGGGGAUAACGUAGCGAAAGUUACGCUAAUAACGAAGACGAUCUAUGGAUGAAAGCGGGGGAUCCGAAGACCUCGCGGGAUGGUCGGGGCCGAUAUCAGAUUAGGUAGUUGGUGGGGUAAAGGCCCACCAAGCCAACGAUCUGUAGCUGGUCUGACAGGACGACCAGCCACACUGGAACUGCGACACGGUCCAGACUCCUACGGGAGGCAGCAGUGGGGAAUUUUGGACAAUGGGCGAAAGCCUGAUCCAGCCAUUCCGCGUGCAGGAUGAAGGCCCUCGGGUUGUAAACUGCUUUUGUACAGAACGAAAAGGUUUCUACUAAUACUAGGAGCUCAUGACGGUACUGUAAGAAUAAGCACCGGCUAACUACGUGCCAGCAGCCGCGGUAA